GAAAUUGUUAAGUCUGCUAGAGAUAAAGGAGAACUCAGCUGUCGUUGAUAGCCAAGUUGAGGCACUGAGCAAGAAGCUAGUAAAUAUCUUUGAGGAAGGUCAUCGUGCUGCUUCAUCCCCAUUAUUUGAUCUGCAGCAACAGUUGACAACUGCAGUGGUAGAUUUUCAGGAACAGCUUGACUUAAUCCUCAAGUAUGAUUGGGACUUUGAUACUUACCUGGAAGAGGAUGUCCCUGCUGCGGUGAGGUGGCAUUUCUCCAUGUUGAGGCUGUAAAUUUUUUAUCUCCAAGAAUCCGCUCUUUAAAUUUGAAUAGGAACUUAAAGAUCUCA
rnacentral:misc_RNA from 1 species